UUAAUUGAAGAGUUUGAUCAUGGCUCAGAUUGAACGCUGGCGGCAGGCCUAACACAUGCAAGUCGAGCGGCAGCACAGAGAAACUUGUUUCUUGGGUGGCGAGCGGCGGACGGGUGAGUAAUGCCUGGGAAAUUGCCCUGAUGUGGGGGAUAACCAUUGGAAACGAUGGCUAAUACCGCAUGAUAGCUUCGGCUCAAAGAGGGGGACCUUCGGGCCUCUCGCGUCAGGAUAUGCCCAGGUGG
rnacentral:rRNA from 1 species